UACCAAAACCUUGCCACAUAAACCCACUACACUCCACCCCUCACCUCUGUGAAAGUCAUAUUUAAGAAUAAUCACAAUAUACUCUCACUUUACAGUCAUUACCAUCUUCACAUACUUGACUUACAUCAAAAAGAAAAAGAGUUCCCCACACCACCAAUAUUGUGUAUGAAUUAGAAAGCAGUUAUUCUUUAUUAACAGCGCUGGGUUUGUGGGGGAUAAUUCCAGGACCUCCCUGGCUCCCAGGGGCAGUUCCCAGGCCGCAGGCCGACCUGCUGGCCUGGACCCCAGCCUGGCAGACAUUGCUCCUGUCAGCAUGGAGCAGCCAUCUCAUGUCAGCAGUUUCUCACAACAGUCUGGUGACCUCUGUCAGUGCUGCCAUCAGGGGCACCCCGAGACCCUUGUGAUGCCACCAGAGAGUCACUGUCACCCUAUGGCCUCACAAAGGGUGGCUGCUUGUGAGUACCCCAGCCA